AUUGAACGCUGGCGGCAGGCUUAACACACGCAAGUCGAGCGGAGAUGAGGUGCUUGCACCUUAUCUUAGCGGCGGACGGGUGAGUAAUGCUUAGGAAUCUGCCUAUUAGUGGGGGACAACAUUCCGAAAGGAAUGCUAAUACCGCAUACGCCCUACGGGGGAAAGCAGGGGAUCUUCGGACCUUGCGCUAAUAGAUGAGCCUAAGUCGGAUUAGCUAGUUGGUGGGGUAAAGGCCUACCAAGGCGACGAUCUGUAGCGGGUCUGAGAGGAUGAUCCGCCAACCUUGGACUGAGACACGGCCCAGACUCCUACGGGAGGCAGCAGUGGGGAAUAUUGGACAAUGGGCGGAAGCCUGAUCCAGCCAUGCCGCGUGUGUGAAGAAGGCCUUUUGGUUGUAAAGCACUUUAAGCGAGGAGGAGGCUACCUGGAUUAAUACUCUAGGAUAGUGGACGUUACUCGCAGAAUAAGCACCGGCUAACUCUGUGCCAGCCGCCGCAGUAAAAC
rnacentral:rRNA from 1 species